UUGGCGACCAGUGCGGGUUCCAUGUCUGCCAUAACAUGAGGAGCUUCGCAGACAAGGAAAAAAUUUCAACGAUUCCGGAAAUCAACUUCGAUAUCAUUAGAGAGGAGAUAGCACAAUUCAUACUAGAUGAUCUCUUGUCACCGAAAGGGAUGUUUAGAGUGAAGUUCUAGGUAGCUCGUCUCGGAAUGGCAGAACAUUUGCAAUGCAUAUGCGACAAACAUUUGAUUUUUGUAAAUAUUCUUUGUAAUACAAUUAAAUUCUUUAGAGUAAA